GGCUGAGAACCACGGAUCUAGGGCCUGGCCCACUCCCGGGCCUGCUCCCUACCUGGUUCAUUCCUGAGCAUGCUCAAUUUCAGGCCAUGAUUUUAAAAGGAAAGGCAGUAGACACGUUUUGGGGUGUGCUUAGCUCAAGGUCAUGGUGCAUUUGUUUAAAAGGUUAAAGAGACGAAUGCUCAGGUUACUUCGAAAAGAUCUGGCUUGAAUUGUAUUAACUUUGGAGUUUGCCCAGGAGGGUGCCCGCCUCACUUAAGCAGUGAGCAUCUUUAGAGAUACUGGUCCUUGAGUGCACACGGAGACAGCAUAGUCUGGACCGCAUGGCUUCUGAUCAACCCAGAUGUAUGUGCAUCACUCUCUGUGCCUCGGAUUCUGUAAUGGAGAGAAUGACUUACUGAUGGUGUAGGGACGCUGAGGAUGCGUGGAGUAGCUGUGGACCAUGGGUGAAUUACUAGCUUGCAAAGCCUCACUGGAAGACAUAUUCUCUUCUGGCCCGAAGCUCAGGCAGGAUCAUCUUUGACCAGAACUACUGAGGACAGGACCCAGAAUCUGCCAUCAGCCACCACCUCAUCCCCAUUUUGUCUGGAGCUCAGUGUGUGUGUGUGUGUGUGUGUGUGUGCCUACCAAAUACACAUGUGUUGUUCUGACCUCCA